UACGUAGGGUGCAAGCGUUAUCCGGAAUUAUUGGGCGUAAAGAGCUCGUAGGCGGUUUGUCGCGUCUGCUGUGAAAACUGGAGGCUCAACCUCCAGCCUGCAGUGGGUACGGGCAGACUAGAGUGCGGUAGGGGAGAUUGGAAUUCCUGGUGUAGCGGUGGAAUGCGCAGAUAUCAGGAGGAACACCGAUAGCGAAGGCAGCUUACUAGGCUGUAACUGACGCUGAGGCACGAAAGUGUGGGGAUCAAACAGG
rnacentral:rRNA from 1 species